rnacentral:rRNA from 1 species
UACAGAGGUCCCGAGCGUUGUUCGGAUUCAUUGGGCGUAAAGGGUGCGUAGGCGGCCUGUUAAGUUUGAUGUGAAAUCCCGGGGCUCAACCCUGGAAUUGCAUUGAAUACUGGCAGGCUAGAGUACCGGAGAGGAAACUGGAAUUUACGGUGUAGCAGUGAAAUGCGUAGAGAUCGUAAGGAAGACCAGUGGCGAAGGCGAGUUUCUGGACGGUAACUGACGCUGAGGCACGAAGGCCAGGGGGAGCAAACGGGG